UAUAAAGGAUUCGGGAAAUGAUCACUUACCAUGGUACUGGGGUCUCUAUCAGCUCGAUUUCGUUCAAAAGAAUUUAUUUUAUGGGCACUCAUUUCAUCAGUAUCAGCAAUGAUAUAAUGUCUGGGAGAGUAAGCAUU